UACAGAGGUCUCAAGCGUUGUUCGGAUUCAUUGGGCGUAAAGGGUGCGUAGGCGGCGCGGUAAGUCGGGUGUGAAAUCUCGGGGCUUAACUCCGAAACUGCAUUCGAUACUGCCGUGCUUGAGGACUGGAGAGGAGACUGGAAUUUACGGUGUAGCGGUGAAAUGCGUAGAUAUCGUAAGGAAGACCGGUGGCGAAGGCUAGUCUCUGGACAGUUACUGACACUGAGGCACGAAGGCCAGGGGAGCAAACGGG
rnacentral:rRNA from 1 species